GACGAACGCUGGCGGCGUGCUUAACACAUGCAAGUCGAACGGAAAGGCCCUGCUUUUGUGGGGUGCUCGAGUGGCGAACGGGUGAGUAACACGUGAGUAACCUGCCCUUGACUUUGGGAUAACUUCAGGAAACUGGGGCUAAUACCGGAUAGGAGCUCCUGCUGCAUGGUGGGGGUUGGAAAGUUUCGGCGGUUGGGGAUGGACUCGCGGCUUAUCAGCUUGUUGGUGGGGUAGUGGCUUACCAAGGCUUUGACGGGUAGCCGGCCUGAGAGGGUGACCGGCAAAAUGGGGACGGAGAUACGGCCAAGACUCCUACGGGAGGAAGCAGUGGGGAAUAUUGAACAAUGGGCGAAAGCCUGAUGCAGCAACGCCGCGGGCGGGAUGACGGCCUUCGGGUUGUAAACCGCUUUCGCCUGUGACGAAGCGUGAGUGACGGAAAUGGGUAAAGAAGCACCGGCUAACUACGU
rnacentral:rRNA from 1 species